rnacentral:lncRNA from 1 species
UAAACAUGAAUCUUUAACUUAGAUGAAGGAGAAUCAAAGAAUGUUGUAUCAUUUAUUGAAUAGGUCAUUCAUAGGCUUUAAAACCGUGCAUGAACAGAGUAUUCAAUAAAAGCAACUCAUAACAUGAAGCUUCACUAAGAAAAAUGAACCAAUACGUACAUUAAUACCAUAUGCGAACACAAAGAUUAAACAGAUAAAAGAGAGGAGUUUAGAUGAACCAACAAUAUUUGCUCUGGCAAUUCCAGUAAAAUUUAAACCAAGACAUGCUAGAAACAGUAAGCUAAUAUCUCAAUAUUCAUCAAACACAUAACACAAAAUCACAAGACAUCGAGAAAUUGAGAAGAAAUGAACCUGAAAUUAGAAAAUGGGUCGACUGAUUCAGAUAUUAACUUCCAAAUUUGAGAGAAAGAACAUCAGCAAAGUCGAGCAAGAAUCGCAGGCAAAAUCGAAACCUCGAACCGGAAACCUCGUCAAAUUCGAAACAAACUACCUUCAACCGAGCUUAAUAUUGAAUUUGAAACUCGUACGCUUGGACUGUUUUGAAACUCCUAAGCAACAAGAUCAAACAAAACCUCUAAUCGACAACACUGGUAGCCCAAAAUAUUCAAUAAUGAAGAAACAAUUAAAAGGUACAGCAGUUCCGAUUCCAAAAUUCGACUGAAAUAGUCUUUCAACUGAUGAGUACUCCCAACUAUUACAAGGAUUUCAGCUCUGAAAUACAAUUGAAUGAACAACAGGAACUUGUUCCACAAAAACAAAAUGUCAAACAACAACAACACUCGAACAACGCCGGAAACAUCAAACUCAACUAGACAUAACCGUACUCCAUAUUUGAGACCGAAGAUCGGAAUCUAAGAAAAAGGCAGAUGUGUAUUUCGGGGGUUGGGUUGUUGUUAAUGGGAAGAAGCAGAAGCAGCGAUGGCUAUGGUGUUCGCAGGUUCUCUGUCCAGCGGCGACUGUGUGUAUGUUUAUCAACGAGCUCGUCGCUGGCUUCUGGGUGUUCUGUGUGUUGUAUUGAUUUUAGGGGUGUGGUGAAGAAGAUCCGUUCAGAAGGGGGGUCGUCCUUGGUGUUAUCGGCGCUUAGCUUUUUCAGAUGCCUCUUUCUUUUUAUUUUUUUCAGGCGUCUUUAUUUUUAUUUGUGUAUUUUCAGCUUAUUGCUCUUAGGUCCUUAGGGUAUUUUUAUUUAUUUUUUGUUCCAAAGAAGAGUCUAGAAGGGUCUCUAAGAUUAGCUUAAUGGGUAUUAGAUAUUGAACUUAAGGAAUUGGCUAGAAACUUGGUCCUUUAUGACUAGCUAUGUUCAAAAUUAGCUUAAUUAACUAAAAGUAUUAUCGAAAAUAUUAAUUAGCUCUACUUAAGUAAAAAUAAUUAUCAAAAUAAGACUGACCAUUAAAACAAAACUAUUUUUUGGUAUUUUUUCAAGAUUAAAAAUGACUACAAAACAUUAAUGAACCUAUUUUUUGUAAUUUUCGUUUUCUUGUAAUAACAUAAAAGUAAAAGAGUAAAAAUGAGUUGAAAUAGCUAUAUUAGGCCUAAAUUAAAUAUUUACGUGCUAAAAUAUGAAAAAUCUUGGGAGGGUCAAAAAUCACAUGUCUACAACUACCCCUUUUUUACUGGAAAGACGAAGUAUUUUUCAGACAAAGAACGACUAGACAUGUUUUUUGACCCGACCCUUAUUUGGAGAGACUAAAACUAAGAGAGAGGGGAAUGUGAUCGAGCUUUGGUAUCUGAGCUGCCUACAUAUCCUUGGCUAUAAAGGAAUCAAGCCACGUGUAGUUUAGAGGUGAGUGAGAUAAUGGAGUGUGCCGAGGUGGAGAGCUGGUCGAGGUGCCGUUCCGCCGAGGUUCCGGUCCGCAGUCCUGAUAUUACAUCAAAAUCAAAACAUGAAAAAGACUAGAUAAGCCUAUCAACUACGAGUUACACGAUUCCUAUCUAUAAGUCUUCCGAAGCUUGAUCUUGAGUCUUGAAUGGUUCUUCAUGCAGACUUUGGAUUUGAACCUUGACGCCUGCUAGUUGCAGGUGCUAGCUCGUUCUUCUUCAGCUUUUCAAAUCAAAACCGGGCAUGAAGUGCUUGUGACCUCGGGCAUGUCUUGAGCAGCCCACGUCUUUCAUCAACUUCUGCAUUUGGAUUAACUUUAUGCCUUUCCCUCUUUUUUCUUUAUUGCGUUUAACUUCUGUUGAUCCCCUUGGACUGUUGAAUCGCAUUCUUACCACGAGCUUCUUUUGUUGCUGACUUGAAUUGUAAUCUGAGAUGCUUUCCCUUUUCUCCAGGUGGACGCCUGAUUGUUGAACUCGAAUUGUACUCUGAGAUGCUUUCCCUUUCUCCAGGUGGAUGCCUGAUUGCUGAACUUGAAUUGUAUUCCCAUGCUCUCUAGGUGGGCGCCUGACUGCUGAACUUGAACUGUAUUCCUGUGCUCACCAGGUGGGCGCCUGACUGCUGGACUUGAAUUGUAUUCCCGUAUUCUCCAGGUGGGCGCCUGACUGCUGAACUUGAAUUGUGUUCCCGUGUUCUCCAGGUGGGCGCCUGACUGCUGAACUUGAAUUGUAUUCCCGUGCUCUCCAAGUGGACUCCUCAUUGCUGAGCUUGAAUUGUUUUCCCGUGCUCUCCAGGUGGGCUCCUGACUGCUGAACUUGAAUUGUAUUCCCGUGCUCUCCAUGUGGGCGCCUGACUGCUGAACUUGAAUUGUAUUCUCGUGCUCUCCAGGUGGGCGCCUGACUGCUGAACUUGAAUUGUUUCUCCCUGUUCUCUAAGUGAGUACCUGAUUUCAACAAAAAUAGACAAAAUAAAGAAAAUUUUCUGCCCCAGUUUGAUAGUUGGGCACAUAUGUGAGUGUUAAACUGAAUCAUAUUACCAAAUAUUAGUAAGAGUUUGAAAGCUAGGUCCCAUUAUCCAGGAGGGUCCUGACAACUCCUAGUUAAUGACAGUUCUUUUAAAAGCUGAAUUAUGUUUUCUAAAGGUAUGACUUCCGCUAAAUCUGGUUAUUUAAGAAGGUCUUAAAACUACACCCUAUUAUCCAAGAGGGUCCUGAAGACUUUUUAAAAUUAAAUCUCAUUAUCUAGAAGGGUUCUGAAAAUUUUUAAAAUUAAAUCUCAUUAUCCAGGAGGGUCCUGAAGACUUUUUAAAAUUAAAUCCCAUUAUCCGGGAGGGUCAUGAAAAUUUUAAAAUAAAUCACAUUAUCCAUGAGGGUCCAGAGAAUUUUAAAUUAAAUCUCAUUAUCCAGUAGGGUCCUGAAGACUUUUUAAAAUUAAAUCCCAUUAUCUAGGAGGGUCCCGAAGACUUUUUAAAAUUAAAUCCCAUUAUCUAGAAGGGUCCUGAAGACAUUUCAAAAUUAAAUCCCAUUAUCAAGGAGGGUCCUGAAAAUUUUUAAAAUUAAAUCCCAUUAUCCAUGAGGGUCCUGAAAAUUUUAAAAUAAAUCCCAUUAUCCAGGAGGGUCCUGAAAAUUUUAAAUUAAAUUUCAUUAUCCAUGAGGGUCCUAAAAACUUUUUAAAAUUAAAUCCCAUUAUCUAGGAGGGUCCUGAAAAUUUUAACAUAAAUUCCAUUAUCUAGGAGGGUUCUGAAAAUUUUAAAUUAAAUCCCAUUAUCCAGGAGGGUCUUGAGAAUUUACGGUCAAACCUGUCUGGUGCUUGAUUUUCCUUACGGAGGGUUUCUCUAAAACAAACGAAAUUUUCUGCCCAUGUUUUAAUCAAAGAAAAAUCUUGUCAGUUUAAAAUGUGGUGGUUAGUUGAUGGCAUUCUUGUUGAAGGUCUCUCCGCUGUCGUGCUUUGUUUUGACUGGCUUCCCCGAACUGUCCCUGAACCGCUUGGCUUUCUGACUGAAUUUCAACCCACAUGACCUCGGAUGACCCGAGUGUUCUAUACCCGAACCGUUGUUUCACACCUCUGACCCCUUUAACUAAACCUCUACAUCUCCCAUGAAAUUACUAAAUCAUUCCGCCGAUGGAACUUUCGCUGGUACUUUAUAUCCCACUUUACAUCAUGACAUCUUUGGUAUGUUCUGGCUACACUAUGCUUUGCAAUUUUUGAAGAUGGUAGUGAGCUUUGAAAUUCUUUCUUAUUUGCUUGACCAAGACUGACAUUGAAACAUCUUAGAGAAUGAAGUCCAAAAGAACUGAAAUGCAAUGACCGUGAGAGUUAAAAAUAAAGAAAAUCUAAAACUGGAUGACUUGCUAAAAAGGAAAGAGACUUAUCUGAGUGGAACAGCUGGUACCAAUGAUCAUGACAUGCAUUUUGGAUUAAUCAGCCCAAUCUGUCCAACCACUCAACUUUCAGUUGCCAUACUUUGUUGCCCCCGAGUUUCCAUAACCUGACUUCUUCGCCAAAACCUUGACCUUGUUCGGCCUGCGGUGCCCUGAAGGGUUUUCACCACAAGCCUCUCUCAUUUGUUCAUCUCUCAACUCACUUUUGCCUUACGGUUCCCGUGAGGGUUUUCACCAAUAAGACUCAGCUCUCGUCACCUUAUGGUGACCGUGAGAGUUUUCACCAAUAAGACUCUCUCAUUUUUAUUAUUUUUCCCUGCUUGGACCAGAGUGUUGCCCCUGAUAUGAAUCACCUCCACUUGCUUGACUUGGCAUUUCUCGAAGACUGAUCGGAAGGUCUUUCUUUGGAUCGUAAUGUGGACUUUUGGAUAGGGUUAGAAAGAAAGGGUAUCAAAGGCUCAAAACAAUUCAAAUGGGUUCAAAAUUACAACUUUUGGAAUCAAAUUUCUUGCAACAACCACAACUUUUGUCCCAACUUCUUUGCUUGGGGACUUUUGGAAUUUUAUUUUGAUGGGACCGAACCGUGAGGCUGCCUACAUAUCCUUAAAAGGAAUCAGGUCGAACGUAGUUCAUGUCGUAGAAAUUGCUUUGUUGUUGUGAUUUUUCUUUUAUGUUCCUCCUCUUUCUUUUCUUUCUUUUCUUUCUUCUUUUUUUCUCUUUUUGUUGUUUUGUUGUUUUGUUUUUUUUUUCUUUUUCUUUUCUUUUUAUUCAUUUCUUUCUAUUUUUCUUCUUUUUUUUUCUUUCCCUCUUUAUUUUUCUUCUUCUCUCUCUUUUCAUUCUUUUCUUUUCUCUUUUUUCCUUUACUCAUCUUUCGCACUUGCGCUUUUGAUCUUUGCUACUGAUUCCAAAAGAGGGGUAUAAAAGGAAAUAAAUAAGGCUCAUGGGGGUAACAAAGGAUAAACUGUUUAGAUAGCAGAACAAAAUGCCUUCGUCAUUCCAAUCUUCAAAACAUGCCAAGUACAAACAAAUACAAUUUAAACAAAGAAAUCAUACAUUAUAUCUCUUGACCGCAUUGGAAUUGAUGGCCAUUUCUACACACUUGCCUUCUAUGUCUGUUAAAUAUAAAGUACCAUUGGACAACACUCUAGUUACGAUGAACGGCCCCUGCCAAUUUAGGGCGAACUUGCCUUUAGCCUCGGCCCGAUAUGGAAGGAUACGUCUCAACACCUGCUAACCCAUUUCAAACUUCCGCGGAUGCACCUUCUAAUUAAAUGCUCUUGCCAUUCUCUGUUGAUACAACUGGCCAUGACACACUGCUGCCAACCUUUUCUCAUCGAUCAAACUUAAUUGUUCCAAGCAGGUUUUAACCCAUUCAUCAUCGUCAAUUUCGGCUUUUACGACAAUCCGAAGGGAUGGGAUUUCGAUUUCCGCGGGUAUCACUACUUCCAUGUCAUAUACCAACAAAUAAGGAGUUGCCCCUACUGAAGUACGAAUAGUAGUGUGAUAACCCAACAAUGCAAAAGGCAGCUUCUCAUGCCAUUGCUUGGACCCUUCCACCAUUUUCCGAAGUAUCUUCUUUAUAUUCUUGUUAGCUGCCUCGACUGCUCCAUUCGCCUUGGGGCGGUAUGAGGUGGAAUUGUGAUGUGUAAUCUUAAACUGUUGACAUACCUCUUUCAUAAGAUGACUAUUGAGAUUAGCACUGUUAUCUGUGAUGAUCACCUUUGGGAUCCCGAACCGACAAAUGAUAUUUGAGGGCACAAAAUCGACCAGUACUUUCUUGGUCACAGACUUGAAAGUUUUAGCUUCAACCCACUUGGUGAAAUAAUCAAUGGCCACCAGAAUAAACCUGUGCCCAUUGGACACUACUGGCUCGAUUGGUCCAAUGACAUCCAUGCCUCAAGCAACAAAGGGCCAUAGUGCAGACAUUGUAUGUAAUUCAGAUGGUGGAGAAUGAAUCAAAUCUCCGUGCACUUGCCACUGAUGACACUUGCGCACAAAACUGAUACAAUCUCGCUCCAUAGUGAGCCAAUAAUAACCUGCUCGGAAAAUCUUCUUUGCCAGCACGUACCCACUCAUAUGCGGUCCGCAGACCCCAAAAUGUACUUUGAUCAUGAUAGUUGUGGCCUGUCUAGCAUCUAUGCAUCUCAACAAUCCAAGAUCCGGAGUCCUUUUGUACAAAACCCCUUCGCUGAAGAAAAAUCCGGUUGCCAAUCGCCGAAUUGUUCUCUUUUGAUCACUUGUGGCUUGUACUGGAUACACCCCCAUCCUGAUAUAUUCCUUGAUAUCAUGAAAUCAAGGCUCACCAUCAAGUUCUUCUUCCACUACAUUAUAGUAAGCAUGCUGAUCAUGGACCUAAAUAUGCAAAGGGUCCACAUAAGCCUUAUCUGGAUGAUGUAGCAUUGAUGCCAAGGUAGCCAAAGCAUCAACAACCUCGUUAUGGAUCCUUGGAAUAUGCCUAAACUCUACUGAUCGAAAACGUUGACAAAGAUCAUGCAAACAUUGCCGAAUCCGAGUCUUCCAAGACCAUUGGGUCCCGUGUUUCCCAUUCCCCUUGAAUCUGGUGCACCAGAAGGUCCGAGUCUCCCAAGACCAAGACUUCCUGGACCCAUGUCUACAACCAACCUCAAACCCAAAAUGCACGCCUCGUACUCACCCAUGUUGUUAGUACAGUAGAAACAAAGUUGAGCCGUAACAGGGUAGUGAUGCCAUGUUUCACAAAUAAGUAUAGCCCCUAUCCCGACGCUUUUCAUGUUAGCAGCUCCAUCAAAGAAAAGUUUCCAACCUGGCUCUCCAACUGGUUCCAACUCAUCAAUAUGCAUUACCUCUUCAUCAGGGAAGUAAGUCUUCAAAGGCUCAUAUUCUUCAUCCAUUGGGUUCUCAGCCAAAUGGUCGGCCAAUGCCUGGGCUUUCAUUGCAGUUCUAGUCACAUAGACGAUGUCAAAUUCUGUGAGCAAGAUCUGCCACUUUGCGAGCCUCCCUGUAGGCAUAGGCUUCUGAAAGAUAUACUUUAACGGAUCCAAACGAGAGAUGAGGUAAGUAGUGUAAGAUGACAAAUAAUGCUUCAACUUUUGUGCCACCCAAGUUAACAUGUCCUUUCUAGGUGAGUGUACUUAACCUCAUAAGAUGUGAACUUCUUGCUGAGAUAAUAGAUGGUCUGCUUCUUCCUGCCGGUGAUGUCAUGCUAACCCAACACACAACCGAAUGAAUUGUCCAGGACCGUCAAAUACAGAAUCAAAGGUCUCCCCGGUUCUGGUGGCACCAACACAGGUGAGUUUGAUAAGUACCCCUUUAUCUUAUCAAAUGCUUCUUGAACUCAUCUGUCCAUUUGAUCGCAUCAUCCUUCUUCAACAGUUUGAAGAUAGGCUUACAAGUUGUCGUAAGCUGAGCAAUAAACCUGCUGAUGUAAUUCAACCUCCCUAAUAAACUCAUCACCUCAGUUUUGUUCCUUGGGGGUGGCAGUUCUUGGAUAGCUUUGAUCUUUGACGGGUCCAACUCAAUACCUCGUCUGCUGACUAUGAAUCCCAACAAUUUUCCAAAUGGCACACCAAAUGCGCAUUUUGUAGGAUUGAACUUAAGACUGUACAUGCGAAGCCUUUGGAAGAAUUUUCUUAGAUCUCUGACAUGAUCAGACUGCUUUCUAGACUUUAUGAUUACAUCAUCCACAUAAACCUCGAUCUCCUUAUGUAUCAUGUCAUGGAAUAUAGUUGUCAUUGCCCUCAUGUAAGUUGCCCCAGCAUUUUUCAAACCAAAAGGCAUGACCCUAUAGCAAUAUGUUCCCCAUGGCGUGAUGAAUGCUAUCUUCUCUGCAUCUUCCUCAUCUAUUAGGAUUUGAUGAUAGCCCGCAUAACAAUCUACAAAAGACCCAAUCUCAUGUUUGGCACAAUUAUCAAUCAGAAUGUGGAUAUUUGGCAGUGGAAAGUUGUCCUUGGGACUCGCCUUGUUGAGAUCACGGUAAUCAACACACACCCUGGUCUUGCUAUCCUUCUUUGGCACAAGUACUACAUUGGCUAACUAAGUGGGAUACCGAGUGACCCGAAUGACUUUUGCAUCGAACUGCUUGGUGACCUCUUCUUUGAUCUUCACACUCAUAUCAGUUUUAAAUUUCCUCAACUUCUGCUUGACAGGAGGGAAUGCCGGGUCAGUGGGCAAUUUAUGAACCACCAAGUCAGUGCUUAGACCCGACAUGUCGUCAUAUGACCAUGAAAAAAUAUCUUUGUACUCAAACAAUGCUUUAAUUAUCUCCUCCCUGAGUUGAGGUUCAAGAUGGACACUUAUCUUAGUUUCUCUGACAUUAUUUGGGUCCCCUAAAUUGAUUGUUUCUGUAUCACUCAGGUUAGGCUUGGGUUUUUCUUCAAAAUGGCUUAAUUCUUUACUAAUCUCUUCAAAGGCCUCAUCCUCAUCAUAUUCCGAUUCAUCAUCACACUCUAUUUCUUGAAUUACUAUUUCAGAAUUAGAUUGACUUUUAAGACUGGGCCGGAGAUUCCUCAUGCAUGUCAUGCCAUUGAAACUAGCAUAAAAAGAACUGUACAAGGAGGAAAAGAAAAACAAAAAUAAAAUUAUCAGGAAGGAAGAAAAGGGGAAAUUGCAUUUCAUUAAAAUUAAAGAUAAUAACGUUUAUACAUCCAAACGGACAGAACAUAAAAUUUGAAUUACAACCCUGGAAUAAUCCAGACAAACUGAAAGAAAAUCAAAGCAAACUACCAAAACUCCCUCCGAGUAGGAAGAGGAGUAGCUUCCUAAUUGUUAAUCUUUGCACUAGGCCCAACAAAUUGCACAUCCGCCUUGCUAGAACCCUCUCCAGCUUCCACCAUGUUCACAUCAUCAAAUAACUUCUCGAACCUUUCAGUCAAUUCUUUAUCAGGACCAACCACAGAACUGGGAACUGUUGUUACUGGGCGUUUCUUAGUGCCAGGCCUGACAAAUGAUCUGGAGAGGCUUGGGAUGGGCUUUGGGAGGACCUAUGCCCUCUGUUUCAACUUCCUGGCUCUUUUCACGUCCGCAACUGUGGGCUUGAACCCCAAUCCAAAUGUAUCCAAGUUUUUGGGGAGAGACACCGGCUAUAUGAUACCUUGCAGAGAUGCACCCAAACCCUUGCCCCGUACAAAACCAUUUUUCAACAUUUCAACGGCUACUAUGACUGAUGCAACAGCUACCCUCGGAGUUGGAACACACUUCCCUUCUGGAAUUUUCUCUACCGUUACAGUGUCAAAAACCUGAUAAACCCAUGGCCCCUUGUCGUUUUCAAAUUCUAUGAACGGAACAAUGGCAUCACUGGGAACACACAAAUUAUCUUCGCCGUGCACAACAAUUUCCUGUCUAUCCCAUUCAAACUUGACCAUUUGAUGCAGAGUAGACGGGAUCGCUUUGGCAGCAUGAAUCCAGGGUUGACCUAACAGCAGAUUAUAAGAAACAGCCACAUCGAGCACUUGGAACUCCAUGGUAAAUUCAAAUGGCCCUAUUGUAAGCUCAAGUACUAUGUCCCCGACUGAAUCUUUCCCUCCACCGUCAAAUCCCCGAACGCAGAUAUUGUUCUUGUGAAUUCUUUCAUCAUCCACCUUCAACUUGUUCAGAGUGGAGAGAGGGCAAAUGUUCGCUCUAGAACCAUUGUCGACCAGUACCCGAGUAACCACGGAAUCUUCGCAUUUCACUGUAAGAUAGAGGGCUUUAUUGUGCUCAGUACCCUUCACGGGAAACUCAUCAUCAGAAAAAGUGACUCUGUUUACCUCAAAUAUCUUGUUAACUAUCUUUUCCAAGUGGUUUACUGAGAUUUUGUCAGGAACGUGGGCCUCAUUCAGGAUCUUCAUCAAAGCCCAACGGUGCUCGUCUGAAUGGAUCAAUAAUGACAAUAGUAAAAUCAGAGUCGGUGUUUUCCUUAACUGCUCCACAAUAGAAUAGUCCUGCACUUUCAUUUUUCUCACGAAUUCCUCUACUUCUUCCUCGGUCACAACUUUCUUCACCAACACUGGGUUAUCUUUGGAGAUCUUAGCUUUUCUCAACUCUUCGGGGGCAAAGCAUCUCCCCGAUCGAGUCAAACCAUGGGUCUCACAAACUUCUUCUUUAACCUCUUUCCCCUUGUAAGUCACUGUCAUUCGUUCAUAAUUCCACGGGACCGCCUUGCUAUUGAUUAUCGGUAAUUGGGUUACCGGCUUGAUAAUGACAGGAUCUGUGUGGGCACCCUCCACAAUUACAACAAGCUUGUUCGCCACUCUGGAACAACCACUUUUGCUCUUUCUUGUUUUACUGCCACAUCACUUGGGCCCCCCUUCUUGACUACUGCAGAUGGUUCACUGUUUGUCCCGCUCAACCUGAUCACUAAUUUCUCACUUGUUGGCUUUUCAACCGGCCUGACUUCACUGGACCGAAUCAUUAUGACGGUCUGUGAAGGCUUCUUAGGCUCCCCUCCCCUAUGCACUAUCUCGAUCAUAUUUGUCUCAUGAUGGGCCGACAACGGAUUCUGGUUGAUAUUGGGUGCCUCCGGAGCUUGGAAUUCAAUCCAAUUAGUAUCAAUGAGCUUUUGGGGUGCCACAAAAAUAGGAGUGAAUGGUGGAGGAUGGUACGAGAUUUGUUUAAGUGGUGGAGCUUGUGAUGUAUGGGAAGUGGUGUCGUGGCAUUGUUGGUAGAGGGGAAAGGCCGGAGAUGAGUUCACAGUGGGAGGUUCCUGUGGCUGAGCCAAUGGCAGAAUAAAAGCAGGGUUGGCGGGGUAAACUGGCGGUGGGUGCCCUUUGCCCAUGCUUGGUACAUUUCAGCCAUCUGCUAAUUCAGUUUAUACAACUCAUAUUUCAGAUUAACCUUCGAUUCUUCCACCUCUUUUGACGGAUCGACAAUACUUGCCUCAAGUUCCUGGUGGGCCAUGAGCUUGUUUUUGGACUGGGUGUUGUAGGAGUGAGUUGCCAAAAUGCCAAUCAAACUAACCACCUACCUGAACUGGGAUUUCAUUAAUAACAAACUUGUUAGCGAUUAGGACUUUAACAGAUAGGCAAUCACACAUUUGAGGAGUGAAUGUACCUAAGCAGUUAACCGUUUCUAUUAUGCAUUUGAUCGGUUGCUUGCGUCAUCCCGACUUUUCCUUAUUUCCACUUGAAACUUCUCUUUUCUCUUUUUUUUCUCUUUUUCAUUCUUGCCUUUCCUUGCUUGAUCUCUCUUUGUUUUUAUUCACUCAUGUCUCUUUCUUGCUUUGUCAUUGUUUCCUUCUCAUUGUUUCUUAUUUUCUCUCUCUUUUCCUUUUCUUUUCUCUCUUAUUUUUCCUCUCUCUCUUUUUCUUNNNNNNNNNNNNNNNNNNNNNNNNNAAAUUAACAGACUCCGACUCAAAACAAGACCAACAGACUCUGACAGAAAGGUGAAAACAACAGACUCGAAAACCUACUAACAGACUCCAAGAAAAAACAAACUCACAAACAGACUAACAGACUCCACCGAAAAUCACAAUUACAUCAACGCCUCAACUGCUCCUGGGGCCCGCGGGACAUCAUUUGGUCUCGCCACGGGCCUACGCGCUAAAUCCCCUUGGAGGUGGUAGAGAUCUUCCAUUAUCCGACGGACAAAGGUCAUCACGGUGGCAAAUAACAUGGAUCUAGUCAUAUCCUCACAACUACUACACUUCAUCGCGAUGUAGUCGGCGAUAUUUCUGACUCUCUCUCUUAUGACACCCUUUUCUUGCAACAAACGCCAAUAUGCUGGACCCUGGCCUUCAAAGUUUGCUCGGCUACAUGAUUUUAUUCUUAAAGUUGUUGCAAAUCUUUUUCUAACUGUGCCAUCGCUGCGUAAUAGUGUUCCCUUUCUACCUUAAAGUCUUUUGCUUGCCUGAUCAUUUUGUUCUCAAAGAUGGUGACCUUUUUCUUCAACCCCACAACCUCAUUGUCAUAUUUUUCUUUUAAUUGCUUAACCAAGCGUGCUCGUUCCUCCGCAUUCUUAGCCAAUUUUGUUCGAGCCCUUACUAAUUCGCCCUCUGCUUUGUUCAAAUCGAAGAAAUACUCACUCACCUUCUGCCUAAGGUUCUUUAUAAGUUUUUCAUAUUUUGCACUUCUGGCGGGAUUUUCUGCUGCUAUUUUCAUUUUCUGAAUCUGGGCUCGAAGGGCCUCAUUUUCUUUGGCUAGCUUUGUUUUUUCACCCUCAUCCGCCGCAGCUUGCAAACCAUUCUCGAACUGAAGAUCCUUGACUUGCUUCUCUAGAUUGCUUAUGGUAGCCCUGUACUCAUUCUCUUUGGCCAACCAAGCCCACUGUUCUUGUGACGCCUUGACAUCCUGAAUAUGGGGUUUUUUAGCCGGCUUUCCAAACUCAAUUUACUUUUUAUACCAAGCAAGGUACCCUGGUGAAACUUCACGUUUAGAUCGAUCAUUUACACAAGUAUUUUCCGUCAAGUAUUGACACUCGCUCCAAAUCUGGCAGACUGCUGCUUCAUGGAAUUGGCCAUCAGGACCAAUCCCAACUGCCUAAGCACUAAGAUCUUCAUCUUUUGGAACUAUUUGACAUCUCCCUAACUGUCUUAAAACCCGGUAUGGGGUAUAAGGCUGGAUACUUUUGAGACCCAUCAGAAGGAAGUGAGGUCCGGUAGCUGGCAUGUAUACGAUUUCAUCUAUAGGAAGCCACUCGAAUGUCCAUUCUAUUUCGUCUGCAGUGAUGGAACGGAGAUGUGAUAUCCAUUCUGUGACCCCUUCUGGCAAGCUGAUCCCAUCAACCCUUGUAUAGAAUUCCUCUAUGCAUGUUUUCUCUGUCGACCCAUAACUCAUGAAUUGAGGACGAUGGCAAAGGUGUUCAAUCAUCCACAUCUAUAGCAACAAGUUGCACCCCUCAAAAAAGUCUCCUUCGGCUUUGCAGGCUGUGAGAGCGCGGAAGAUUUCAGCUACUAUCAUGGGUGCGAGGGUGUUUUUGACCUGAGUAAGCAAAGUGCUGAUGACGCCAGCUAUCCGUAUAUCGAUAUUUCCAUCUUUCUUAGGAAACACCAGAAGACCCAAGAAUACCACCAUAAAAGCAAAGCACAUGUGUUAUUCCCAUUUGAGGCAAUUCCCUUUGCUACAAAUUUUGUUUUCUGGAUUGUUAAACCCUUUUAUGUGACUGUAUCUCUGGUAUAUAAACCGUGGAGUGGAAAAUCCCGCGGCCAAAUCUGGGUUAUGGAACCCCCUGCUUAUCUUUAAGGAAUAUAGGAAUAUGUGUACAACGACGACUCCUGGAGCAACCAGAUACUUGUGUCUUAGAGGAACCUCGACGCUCCUAAUAUAUCCGACUAUUUCUUCCAAAGUUGGGGUGAGUUCAAAAUCUGAGAAAUGAAACACGUUGUGGGCCGGGUCCCAGAAUGUAACCAACGCCUUUAUAAUGUCUCCUCUAGGCCUAAUCUUCAACAACCCGGUGGGACCUCCCAAAUAUUGAUUGACCAUAUCUUGCCCUGAUUUACCCAGAUCAUCCCACCACAUAUGCAGCUCCAAAGGGAUUUUGUUCAUGACUGUUAUUGGCAAAUUUUGACUCGUGCUCAUUCUGCACAUUUAUUAAGGUGAUUAAGCAUUAUCAUGACUCAUUUGACUCAAGAAAAGUUAAUUUUUUUCAAAUUGUUGUUUCAAAAAUAAAACCCGGCUUUGAAAAUACGGCCUUUCAGCACUUCCGGGGAGAAGAUUUUAAAGUUAUGCUUGCCAACCGGCCAAAAAUUCAAAAAGGAGACCAAAGGUGGUUGUACUUGCUAAAACAGCCUUACGAUAUCCUUUUGGGGACAUUCGGCUAUUUUAGACAAAAAUGGCAUCACCUUGCUUAAAAAUAGAAGAAAAUUCUUGUUCUUUUGGGCUAUUUUUGCAAAAGGAAAGUUGGACCCGAUGGGGGUUGCCUACGUAUCCCACAUCUAGUGAGAAUCAAACUGGCAUAGUUCAGACAAUUUUGACAGAACAAAAACCAACUCUUUUUUUUCUUAAAACAAAACAAAAAAAAAUUCUUUUUUUUUUCAAAAUUCCGGCAGAGUUUCAGUAUAUUUUGGGACAUCGGUUUUUCAAAACAGGAAAUUAUCUCUCUCAACUUUUUCAUUGACUUCCCCUAAGUUUUUCCCUUAAAAGCCGGUCAACACGCAAAUCCAAAGCAAAUGAAUGCACAAGUAGCAAGUAAGAUGCAUCAGGAUGGCCUUUUCAUUUCGGGUACACCUGUCCUAGACAGACCCAACCUCUGUGUUGAGUCUCCAAAGUCAAAUGCACAUGAUGCAAACAAAAGUUCCUACUCGGGAUCCGGUAUGAGACUGAGUUAUUCUAGGUUCAAAACCUGGGUAUUUGUUCUAGACUUGUGUACCCGAGCGGACGACUCGAGCUGAGGAGGGGGCUACGUACCGGGAACCAAAAGGCCAUCCGGCUUAGUAAUUUAUCCGAGCCUCUUUCUUAUUUCAAGGUAUGCCAUUAACAGAAUAGGGAGUCUCGACCAGCGAGCACAUCCCCAAAGAUAAGAAGAGAAGGGUUUCGUAGCAGUUUUUAUGUGGUUCAGAUAAUAUCAAAGCGGUAAAAGCAACAUUUAGCACAUUAGGCCCAAACAUGCAAUAAAAUCAUAUGACAGAUAAAACCAAAUAUAACAAUUCAUCAAAUCUCGAAUUCUGAACCUUGAACUAGAGAUUCUAGGUUCGGUCCCCAGCAGAGUCGCCAGAGCUGUCACACCUCCUUUUACUAUACCCCCAUUUUUAACACAUCAUUGAAAGGCUUACCCAAGGCCGGGAUCAAAUGACUGAAGUAGGUGGGCCCCUGGGCUUGUAGGAAAAGCUCAACCAUUUCUUUUUCACCAAUCGGGGUACUAAUUGAGCAGCUUGCUCCCUCCAUCUGAGCCCAAACUCCCUAAAGUUUUCCUCCGACUUCUUUUCCAUUCUAGAUAGGGAAGAGCGGUCUGGGGCAAUGCCUGAUUUGUAUUUAAAGUAUCGAACAAAAUCUUGAGCUAUGUCACCCAAUGUAGGCCACUUAUCUUGACGAUUAUGCCAUUCCAAAGCUGCCCCAGUCAAGCUCUCACCAAAAUACGCCAUCAACAAAUCAUCUUUCUCGCCAACAUUUCUCAUUUUACUGUAAAAGACCCUCAAAUGGGCUACCAGAUCCCCACGCCCAUCAUACAAGUUAAAGUUUGGCACUUUAAAUCCCGUGGAAAGGCGAACGUCAGGGGACACAAACAGUUCUUUGUAAGCCAUGCUACCCUGGUCUCCUAUUCCUUGCUUGUUCUUUAAGGACUGUUCUAUGCCUUUUAGCCUCCUGGGUAUCCCAUCUCGCCCUUCACUUCCUGUGAACUUUUUAUUUUCAACAUGAGGCUCAUCCCGCGGGCCCUACUUGUAUGAGUUGGGGACCUUGUGGGCAACCCCUGAGGGGUAAUAUUGGGCAUCAUGAGCUUUGAGUGGGUGUUCAUUGUCGGGGAUAGUGGAUGUGACAGGAGGACACUUUUGGAAAAAUAUAGUUGGAGGACGAGUGAUAGAGCUACUAGGGUGGUUGGGAAAGUUGUGAUAAGCGGGUGGAUCUGGAGAGUAUGGAGGAUCAUCUGGCAUUAGGUCCGGAGUUUGGGUAAAGGCAGCAUCUAGGAAGCUAGGUGGUGGCUGGGGUGGUGCCUUCCCAGUUAUCCAAGCCUGAUACAUGUCCGCCAUGUGUUGUCUUAACAUCUUUACCUCUUCAGCCUAACCAGUGUCCUGUUCAACCAACUGCUUUCGGGCACCGGUAUCAACCAACCAAAUUUUGUUGUUGUCUGCCAUUGCCUUUUGACUUUAUGUUGUAGAAAAGAGUUACCUCUUUAAAAACCACAAACCAACCACCCUUCUGCUAUGAAUAUAACAAAAUGAAGUCAUGUUAGUGUUAGGGCAUUUAACAUAAGAUAAUCUCACUUUAUGUGCAAUGCACCUAGCCACAAUUAUCGGUUCUAAAAUGAACUUCGAGGGUACCAAGGUCGGUUGGCAUCNNNNNNNNNNNNNNNNNNNNNNNNNNNNNNNNNNNNNNNNNNNNNNNNNNNNNNNNNNNNNNNNNNNNNNNNNNNNNNNNNNNNNNNNNNNNNNNNNNNNNNNNNNNNNNNNNNNNNNNNNNNNNNNNNNNNNNNNNNNNNNNNNNNNNNNNNNNNNNNNNNNNNNNNNNNNNNNNNNNNNNNNNNNNNNNNNNNNNNNNNNNNNNNNNNNNNNNNNNNNNNNNNNNNNNNNNNNNNNNNNNNNNNNNNNNNNNNNNNNNNNNNNNNNNNNNNNNNNNNNNNNNNNNNNNNNNNNNNNNNNNNNNNNNNNNNNNNNNNNNNNNNNNNNNNNNNNNNNNNNNNNNNNNNNNNNNNNNNNNNNNNNNNNNNNNNNNNNNNNNNNNNNNNNNNNNNNNNNNNNNNNNNNNNNNNNNNNNNNNNNNNNNNNNNNNNNNNNNNNNNNNNNNNNNNNNNNNNNNNNNNNNNNNNNNNNNNNNNNNNNNNNNNNNNNNNNNNNNNNNNNNNNNNNNNNNNNNNNNNNNNNNNNNNNNNNNNNNNNNNNNNNNNNNNNNNNNNNNNNNNNNNNNNNNNNNNNNNNNNNNNNNNNNNNNNNNNNNNNNNNNNNNNNNNNNNNNNNNNNNNNNNNNNNNNNNNNNNNNNNNNNNNNNNNNNNNNNNNNNNNNNNNNNNNNNNNNNNNNNNNNNNNNNNNNNNNNNNNNNNNNNNNNNNNNNNNNNNNNNNNNNNNNNNNNNNNNNNNNNNNNNNNNNNNNNNNNNNNNNNNNNNNNNNNNNNNNNNNNNNNNNNNNNNNNNNNNNNNNNNNNNNNNNNNNNNNNNNNNNNNNNNNNNNNNNNNNNNNNNNNNNNNNNNNNNNNNNNNNNNNNNNNNNNNNNNNNNNNNNNNNNNNNNNNNNNNNNNNNNNNNNNNNNNNNNNNAUAUUUUUUUGUCUUCUUUUUUUUUUUUAAAAAUGAUGAGACACGUUACUUUUUUUUUGGAUUUUCUGAUUUACGGAAAAUGAUGAAAAAGUGCAAAAUCUCUUCUUCUUUUUUUGAAUUUUCAAGAUCUUUUUUUUCUUAACAAGAAUGUGACAGAAAACAUAAUUUGGCCCCACUCGCUUUAUCUUCACACUUCAACCUCUUUUUCUUUUUCUUUUUCAUUUGCCCUCAACUAUCAUUGGUCUGCCAAAUGACCCUUUUACCCUUGAAGAAAUGCAACAUGUAGCACAUAUGAUGCAUCAAGAUGGUCUGUUAUUUUGGGUACACCUGUCUUAGACAGACCCAACCCCUGUGUUGAGUCCCCAAAGUCAGAUGCACGUGAUGCAAACAAGCGUUCCUACUAGGGAUCCGGUAUGAGGCUGAGUUAUUCUAGGUUUAAAAUCUGGGUAUGUGUUCUAGACUGUGUACCCGAGUGGACAACUCGAGCCGAGGAGGGGGCUACGUACCGGGAACCAAAAGGCCAUCCGACUUAGUAACUUGUCCGAGCCUCUUUCUUAUUUCAAGGUAUGAUACUAACAGAAUAAAGAGUCUCGACCAGCGAGCACAUCCCCGAAGAUGAGAAGAGAAGGGUUUCAUAGCAGUUUAUAUACAGUUCAGAUAAUAUCAAAGCGGUCAAAGCAUCAUUUAACACAUUAGGCCCAAGCAUGUAAUCAGAUAACAGAUAAAGCCAAAUACAACAAUUCAUCUAAGCUUGAAUUUUGAACCCUGAAUCAGAGAUUCUAGGUUCGAUCCCCAACAGAGUCGCUAGAACUGUCACACCUCCUUUUUACCUACACCUCCGGAAGGGUAUAUAAGGGAGUUUUUUCCAACUUAAAGUGACAAUCGAAACGGGAUUAUUUAUUUAUAGAAAUUCAGAGUCGCCACUUGGGAUAAUUUAGGGUGUCCCAAGUCACCGGUUCAAGUCCCGAAUCGAGGAAAAGAUUGAUUAUGUUUUACAGUCCGCAAACAAAAAAUCUGGGUAAGGAAUUCUGUUAACCCGGGAGAAGGUGUUAGGCAUUCCCGGGUUCCGUGGUUCUAGCACGGUCGCUCAACUGUUAUAAUUGGCCUAUUAUCUGAUUUUAAUACAUGUUUUAGCCUAUGGUUCAAUUUUAACUUUUAAACCGCUUUUAUUUAAUUAAGGAAAAUUCAAGGUUAUGUAAAACACAUCGCAAGCCACGCUACAUGAAAUGCACCUGUGAGUCACGACACAUUCUAUUUAACCUUGUUGGAAAUUAGAACCGGGUCACAUGAAAUUUACACCAGAAUUGAGAAUUAGACAUCGUAACUAUGUCACGGGAACUGUACCCAUGGUCACGAUAGUUUAUUUAUUAAUCGCACCUAAAACAUGCUCCUAUCGAUCUGAACAAUUAACAAAAAUAGAACAAGAACAAGAGAGACUUUCUUAAGUUUAAAAUCUUUCUCAUAUUUAUCCGGGAUCUGUAAUGACCAUUUUAGGAGUUCGAAAUGAUGAAAUCACAUUACAUAUACCAAAAUUCCCUUAAAGAGUAAAAGUAGUCAUUUCCAGUAAUUCACAAGCUAAGGUAAGCUUUGCUUUAACGUGAAGCUCUAAUUUUGGACAAUUCAUGAAUCAAAGCUCACUGAACAUGGAAGCUAAUUGACCUUAAUCGAGCAAACCAAAAAUGGUAAACAUAAACAUGAAUCCUUAACCUAGACGAAGGAGAAUCAAAGAAUGUUGUAUCAUUUAUUAAAUAGACUAUUCAUAGGCUUUAAAACCGUGCAUGAACAGAGUAUUCAAUAAAAGCAACUCAUAACAGGAAGCUUCACUAAGAAAAAUGAACCAAUACGUACAUUAAUACCAUAUGCGAACAAAGAUUAAACAGAUAAAAGAGAGGAGUUUAGAUGAACCAACAAUAUUUGCUCUGGCAAUUCCAGUAAAAUUUAAACCAAGACAUGCUAGAAACAAUAGGCUAAUAUCUCUAUAUUCAUCAAACACAUAACACAAAAUCACAAGCCAUCGAGAAAUUGAGAAGAAAUGAACCUGAAAUUAGAAAAUGGGCCGACUGAUUCAGAUAUUAACUUCCAAAUUUGAGGGAAAGAACAGCAGCAAAGUCGAGCAAGAAUCGCAGGCAAAAUCGAAACCACGAACCGGAAACCUCGUCAAAUUCGGAACAAACUACCUUAAACCGAGCUUAAUAUUGAAUUUGAAACUUGUAUGCAUGGACUGCUUUGAAACUCCUAAGCAACAAGAUCGAACAAAACCUCUAAUCGACAACACUAUUAGACCAAAAUAUUCAAUAAUGAAGAAAAAAUUAAAAGGUACAGCAGUUCUGAUUCCAAAAUUCGACUGAAAUAGUCUUUCAACUGAUGAGUACUCCCAACUAUUACAAGUAUUUCAGCUCUGAAAUACAAUUAAAUGAACAACAGGGACUUGUUCCACAAAAACAAAAUGCCAAACAACAACAACACUCGAACAACGCCGGAAACAUCAAACUCAACUCGACCUAACCGUACUCCAUAUUUGAGACCGAAGAUCGGAAUCUAAGAAAAAGGCAGAUGUGUAUUUCGGGGGCUGGGUUGUUGUUAAUGGGAAGAAGCAGAAGCAGCAAUGGCUAUGGUGUUCGCGGGUUCUCUGUCCAGCGGCGACUGUGUGUGUGUUUAUCAACGAGCUCGCCGCUCGCUUCUGUGUGUUCUGUGUGUUGUAUUGAUUUUAGGGGUGUGGUGAAGAAGAUCCGUUCAGAAGGGGGGUCGUCCUUGGUGUUAUCGGCGCUCAGCUUUUUUCACAUGCCUCUUUCUUUUUAUUUUUUUUCAGGCGUCUUUUUUUUUUAUUUGUGUAUUUUCAGCUUAUUUCUCUUAGGUCCUUAGGAUAUUUUUUAUUUAUUUUUUGUUCUAAAGAAGAGUCUAAAAGGGUCCCUAGGAUUAGCUUAG